ACAUGCCCGUACGGGACACGGCGAUACAGUUUAAAGGGGCCAAACGAUGAGACAACAGCAGGCGGGGGACCAACAGUGGGGGGGGAGCACUGAUGGAGACGAGGGGGAGUGUCAACUGCGGCGGGGCCAGAGGAGAGGGGAGCUGCAGCAACACCUAUGGGUCGUUUGCUUGCAUACUGUUUACGUUGUUCCAUAGCUGCUGCUCUGAAUAGAUGCUCUUGUAUUCCCACACUGAUUGUUUACUCUCAAGAAGAGGACACUCAGGACACACUGCACCACACUCUACAGCUCCCUGAAGUUAGGUUGUGAUGAGGAGGGCUUUGGCCUCUUCUACCAGGAAACAAACAGUAAUACAGGAAACAGCCACAAA